rnacentral:rRNA from 1 species
CUUUUUAAGCUUAGUGGCGAACGGGUGAGUAACGCGUGAGUAACCUGCCCUAGAGUGGGGGACAACAGUUGGAAACGACUGCUAAUACCGCAUAAGCCCACGGUACCGCAUGGUACUGAGGGAAAAGGAUUUAUUCGCUUUAGGAUGGACUCGCGUCCAAUUAGCUAGUUGGCGGGGUAACAGCCCACCAAGACGAUGAUAGGUAGGGGUUCUGAGAGGAAGGUCCCCCACAUUGGAACUGAGACACGGUCCAA